UAGGGAAUCUUCGGCAAUGGGGGGAACCCUGACCGAGCAACGCCGCGUGAGUGAAGAAGGUUUUCGGAUCGUAAAGCUCUGUUGUUAAGGAAGAACGAGUGUGAGAAUGGAAAGUUCAUGCUGUGACGGUACUUAACCAGAAAGGGACGGCUAACUACGUGCCAGCAACCGCGGUAAUACGUAGGUCCCGAGCGUUGUCCGGAUUUAUUGGGCGUAAAGCGAGCGCAGGCGGUUAGAUAAGUCUGAAGUUAAAGGCAGUGGCUCAACCAUUGUAGGCUUUGGAAACUGUUUAACUUGAGUGCAGAAGGGGAGAGUGGAAUUCCAUGUGUAGCGGUGAAAUGCGUAGAUAUAUGGAGGAACACCGGUGGCGAAAGCGGCUCUCUGGUCUGUAACUGACGCUGAGGCUCGAAAGCGUGGGGAGCGAACAGG
rnacentral:rRNA from 1 species